rnacentral:rRNA from 1 species
AACGAACGCUGGCGGCAGGCCUAACACAUGCAAGUCGAGCGAACCCUUCGGGGUUAGCGGCGGACGGGUUAGUAACGCGUGGGAAUAUGCCCAAAGGUACGGAAUAGCCUCGGGAAACUGAGAGUAAUACCGUAUGUGCCCUUCGGGGGAAAGAUUUAUCGCCUUUGGAUUAGCCCGCGUUGGAUUAGGUAGUUGGUGGGGUAAUGGCCUACCAAGCCGACGAUCCAUAGCUGGUUUGAGAGGAUGAUCAGCAACACUGGGACUGAGACACGGCCCAGACUCCUACGGGAGGCAGCAGUGGGGAAUCUUAGACAAUGGGGGAAACCCUGAUCUAGCCAUGCCGCGUGGACGAUGAAGGCCUUAGGGUUGUAAAGUCCUUUCAGCUGGGAAGAUAAUGACGGUACCAGCAGAAGAAGCCCCGGCUAACUCCGUGCCAGCAGCCGCCGCAGUAA